CCUACGGGGGGCUGCAGUGGGGAAUAUUGGACAAUGGGGGCAACCCUGAUCCAGCCAUGCCGCGUGUGUGAAGAAGGCCCUCGGGUUGUAAAGCACUUUCAGUGAGGAAGAACGCCUGGUGGUUAAUACCCAUCAGGAAAGACAUCACUCACAGAAGAAGCACCGGCUAACUCCGUGCCAGCAGCCGCGGUAAUACGGAGGGUGCGAGCGUUAAUCGGAAUUACUGGGCGUAAAGCGCGCGUAGGUGGCUUGAUAAGCCGGUUGUGAAAGCCCCGGGCUCAACCUGGGAACGGCAUCCGGAACUGUCAAGCUAGAGUGCAGGAGAGGAAGGUAGAAUUCCCGGUGUAGCGGUGAAAUGCGUAGAGAUCAGGAGGAAUACCAGUGGCGAAGGCGGCCUUCUGGACUGACACUGACACUGAGGUGCGAAAGCGUGGGUAGCAAACAGGAUUAGAUACCCCUGUAGUC
rnacentral:rRNA from 1 species